GACGAACGCUGGCGGCGUGCUUAACACAUGCAAGUCGAACGCAAAGGCUCUGCUUUUGUACGGUGCUCAAGUGUCGAAAGGGUGUGUAACACGUGAGUAACCUGCCCUUGACUUUGGGAUAACUUCAGGAAACUGGGUCUCUUACCCGAUAUAAGCUCCUGCAUCAUGUGGGGGGUUGGAAAGUUUCGGAGGUUGGGGAUGAACUCGCGGCUUAUCAGCUUGUUGGUUGGGUAGUGGCUUACCAAGGCAUUGACGGAUAGCCGGCCUGAGAGGGUGACCGGCCACAGAGGGACUGAGAAACGACCCAGACUCAUACGGGAGGCAGCAGUGGGGAAUAGUGCAAAAUGGGCGGAAGCCUGAAGCAGCGACGCCGGGUGCGGGAUGACGGCCGUAGGGGUGGAAACCGCGUGAGCCUGGGACGAAGAGUGAGUGACGGUAAUGGGUAAAGAAGGAACGGCUAACUACGUG
rnacentral:rRNA from 1 species